UGUGUGAGUGCAUGUGUGUGAGUGCGAGUGUCACAUCUCGUCCAGAGAGGAUCUUGGUGAGGAGCCGGAGGAGUCUGCACAGGUGGAAGUCAUCUGCCUCAUCAGAGCGGGGGAUUUAGGAGCAGCAGAUCCUUCCUUCAGUGCUAGAUGAUUACGUUCAUCGGGUUUUUGUCUCUCCGCUCGUGAGUUCUCCUGCGAGCACCAGCCUGCCUGCUCCGUUGCUCUCCCCGCCGCAGCUUCACUCCUGCAAGCCUCCGGUUCUCCGAACACCCCCUCCUCGCACUCACCUUCGGACCGCCGAACUACCCUCCACUCAGAAUCCUGGCACCUUCCCCACGCUACAGCAAACCACCGUGAAGUAAGCCCGUUCCACUUCCCUCUCAAAUCUAUCCGUUCACUCCCAGCCGUCUAAACCGCUUUUCAUUCUCACCCCCUCACUGAAGUCCUGCGGAUUGAUAUCUUGUGUCCUGUUGAAAAAUAAAUACUCACUAUUUUUCUAAGAGACGUGUGGUUUCUGCAUGUGGGUCAGAAAGCUAAAACCCAACAUGUCAAUUACCCUAUUUAUAUAAAGCAGAUAAGGGAACAAUGUGAUUGUGUAGAAAAGUGAAAUCCUUCCAAACUCUUUAUAAUAAUUUAAAGCAUUUGUUGUGCAUAUUUUGGCACAGCAAAUUAUGAGCUGCCAAUAUUUUCAUGCCCUGUUUUAUAAAUGAAUAAUUAAAGAGUCAGACAGCAAUAAUGUUGGGUUUUGCAGGGGAGUGGUUUUCUUCUCCUUCACAGGGAGGCAGGCUGAUGAAAUCCAGCUGUUCCUCAUCACCUCCAAUUUGCAAGGUCUUUAAAGAGGAGUAGCUUCCCAGAUUCAGAUGCCAGAUGGUUCCACUUCUACUGUGUGAACCUAUGCUGAACACCCUCUGAGACAGACUCACCUGAAGAAUCUGAUCCUCGCGGCUCCACUGGGCCUUGCACCUGGGUACGUCACCUGCCACACAGCUGCUGCCUCUCCGCCCUCAGACUCCUGCAGGAACCUCUCCACCUGGAAACCACCCCACCACGCCAACUGCUGGAACUCCCAAGUACUCCCCUCUGCCUACCUCUACCCACUGACCGUAAGCUCCCCUCAGGUUACCCCUCGUUCCCUUCAUUUCUUCCCUCUUUAACCGCUUCCUCUUUCAGUUUCCCUGCUGACCUGGUCCCUCCCUGCUGUCGCAGAUCGACGUCCCUCCACACACUUCCCUGUUUAAUAAAUUUAUUAAAACUGUUUGAGUGUUCGUAGUUGUUGCUUGCCUUAGAGUCCUGGAA